AGACCCGAAACCCGGUGAUCUAGCCAUGGGCAGGUUGAAGGUUGGGUAACACUAACUGGAGGACCGAACCGACUAAUGUUGAAAAAUUAGCGGAUGACCUGUGGCUGGGGGUGAAAGGCCAAUCAAACCGGGAGAUAGCUGGUUCUCCCCGAAAGCUAUUUAGGUAGCGCCUCGUGAAUUCAUCUCCGGGGGUAGAGCACUGUUUCGGCUAGGGGGCCAUCCCGGCUUACCAACCCGAUGCAAACUGCGAAUACCGGAGAAUGUUAUCACGGGAGACACACGGCGGGUGCUAACGUCCGUCGUGAAGAGGGAAACAACCCAGACCGCCAGCUAAGGUCCCAAAGUCAUGGUUAAGUGGGAAACGAUGUGGGAAGGCCCAGACAGCCAGGAUGUUGGCUUAGAAGCAGCCAUCAUUUAAAGAAAGCGUAAUAGCUCACUGGUCGAGUCGGCCUGCGCGGAAGAUGUAACGGGGCUAAACCAUGCACCGAAGCUGCGGCAGCGAACGUAUCACCCAAGACAACUUUACGGAGUUGACGAUUGACGGAGCGAAGCGACGUCAAAGCGUUCAUUAAAGUCGAGUUGGCUUAGGGAUACGUUCGUUGGGUAGGGGAGCGUUCUGUAAGCCUGUGAAGGUGUGUCGUGAGGCAUGCUGGAGGUAUCAGAAGUGCGAAUGCUGACAUAAGUAACGAUAAAGCGGGUGAAAAGCCCGCUCGCCGGAAGACCAAGGGUUCCUGUCCAACGUUAAUCGGGGCAGGGUGAGUCGACCCCUAAGGCGAGGCCGAAAGGCGUAGUCGAUGGGAAACGGGUUAAUAUUCCCGUACUUGGUGUUACUGCGAAGGGGGGACGGAGAAGGCUAUGUUGGCCGGGCGACGGUUGUCCCGGUUUAAGCGUGUAGGUGUGUGUUCCAGGUAAAUCCGGUUCACUUUAACACUGAGGCGUGACGACGAGGCACUACGGUGCUGAAGCAACAAAUGCCCUGCUUCCAGGAAAAGCCUCUAAGCAUCAGGUAACACGAAAUCGUACCCCAAACCGACACAGGUGGUCAGGUAGAGAAUACCAAGGCGCUUGAGAGAACUCGGGUGAAGGAACUAGGCAAAAUGGUGCCGUAACUUCGGGAGAAGGCACGCUGACACGUAGGUGAAGUGAUUUACUCAUGGAGCUGAAGUCAGUCGAAGAUACCAGCUGGCUGCAACUGUUUAUUAAAAACACAGCACUGUGCAAACACGAAAGUGGACGUAUACGGUGUGACGCCUGCCCGGUGCCGGAAGGUUAAUUGAUGGGGUCAGCGCAAGCGAAGCUCCUGAUCGAAGCCCCGGUAAACGGCGGCCGUAACUAUAACGGUCCUAAGGUAGCGAAAUUCCUUGUCGGGUAAGUUCCGACCUGCACGAAUGGCGUAAUGAUGGCCAGGCUGUCUCCACCCGAGACUCAGUGAAAUUGAACUCGCUGUGAAGAUGCAGUGUACCCGCGGCAAGACGGAAAGACCCCGUGAACCUUUACUAUAGCUUGACACUGAACAUUGAGCCUUGAUGUGUAGGAUAGGUGGGAGGCUUUGAAGUGUGGACGCCAGUCUGCAUGGAGCCGACCUUGAAAUACCACCCUUUAAUGUUUGAUGUUCUAACGUGGACCCGUAAUCCGGGUUGCGGACAGUGUCUGGUGGGUAGUUUGACUGGGGCGGUCUCCUCCUAAAGAGUAACGGAGGAGCACGAAGGUUGGCUAAUCCUGGUCGGACAUCAGGAGGUUAGUGCAAUGGCAUAAGCCAGCUUGACUGCGAGCGUGACGGCGCGAGCAGGUGCGAAAGCAGGUCAUAGUGAUCCGGUGGUUCUGAAUGGAAGGGCCAUCGCUCAACGGAUAAAAGGUACUCCGGGGAUAACAGGCUGAUACCGCCCAAGAGUUCAUAUCGACGGCGGUGUUUGGCACCUCGAUGUCGGCUCAUCACAUCCUGGGGCUGAAGUAGGUCCCAAGGGUAUGGCUGUUCGCCAUUUAAAGUGGUACGCGAGCUGGGUUUAGAACGUCGUGAGACAGUUCGGUCCCUAUCUGCCGUGGGCGCUGGAGAACUGAGGGGGGCUGCUCCUAGUACGAGAGGACCGGAGUGGACGCAUCACUGGUGUUCGGGUUGUCAUGCCAAUGGCACUGCCCGGUAGCUAAAUGCGGAAGAGAUAAGUGCUGAAAGCAUCUAAGCACGAAACUUGCCCCGAGAUGA
rnacentral:rRNA from 2 species